rnacentral:rRNA from 1 species
UACGAAGGGGGCUAGCGUUGCUCGGAAUCACUGGCGUAAGCGCACGUAGGCGGAUUGUUAAGUCAGGGGUGAAAUCCUGGAGCCUCACUCCAGAACUGCCUUGAUACUGCGGUCUCGAGUCCGGAAGAGGCGAGUGGAACUCCUCGGUGUAGCGGUGGAAUGCGCAGAUAUCAGGAAGAACACCAACGGCGAAGGCAGCUCGCUGGACGGUACUGACGCUGAGACGCGAAGCGUGGGGAGCGAACAGG